GGCGAGCCCUUCGGCUACGCCAUCUGCAUGGAGACGGUGCCCGGCACCCUCAAGUUCAGCGUCAGCCCGUGCGGCCACCCCUUCUGCCGGAGCUGCGUCGCCCAGUACGUGACCACGAAGCUGGACGACAAGGUCGCUGGCGUGGCAUGCCCUCACCCAGGCUGCGAGGCCGGCGCCGUCGAGCCGGAGAGCUGCCGCGGCGUCAUCCCCCCGGACCUCCUCGACAGGUGGGGUUUCCUGCUGUGCGAGCUCGCGGUCGGCGCCCUCAAGAGGGUGUACUGCCCGUACCAAGAAUGCUCGGCGCUCCUGCUCGCCGACGGCGACACGAAGGAGGCCAUCGCGGAGGCGGAGUGCCCGCACUGCCACCGGCUCUUGUGCGCCCGGUGCGGCGUGCCAUGGCACGACGGCAUGGGGUGCAAGGAGUUCCACAAGCUCGGGCAGGACGAGCGCGGCCGGAACGACCUCCUGCUCCGGCGCCUCGUGGGCAGGAAGGGGUGGCAGCGGUGCCCCAAGUGCCGGAUGUUCGUGGAGAAAUCGGAGGGCUGCAAUUACAUGAAAUGCAGGUGUGGAAACAGUUUCUGCUACCGAUGCGCAUCCAAGUUGUCAGCGGAAAACCAUUACUGCAAAAAGUGCAAGCGCUAG
rnacentral:rRNA from 1 species